GUCUGUGUCGCGGCCAAAACCGCUAGAGGAGGACUGGGGCGAAGUUUUUCACACGUUUGAUUAUAGUCUAUAAUGUCAUCGAGCUGUGUAACUGCAGAAGGACAAAAUUGUAAGUUUUUCAUAGCCUUUGAUAUCUUUAUUAAGGUAUAUCGCAAUUUAUGUUCCUUUUCUACAUUAUUUACUAGUUGUGAACCGCCACUURAAACCUGUUUAGAGUGAUUUCAGUCGUCUUUAGAGCCGUGUAAGAUCGAAAAAAUUGUAAUCAAUGUAAACAACGUUCAUUUGAGUAAAAGAAAAACAAGGAGCGAGUGUCACAAGUUUCUGCAGCUACAUUUCGUUCACAAAAUUCUGAUUCCAAACUACGAAUAAAGACAGAAGAAAUAACGCUUGAAGUCUUGGAAUUAUGGUGAGUUUAGAGUUUUGAAGACCAAUGUUAUGGAUCAUUGCACAAGCACGCAAGAACCGAAGGCGCCAACUUCAGAUCUCGAUAAUGAUAUGCAAAUUAAUGACAAUACCGCAGACAGGCGCGAAAGAGAGAGAAUUCCGACUGAAAGAGGAAGGCAAGAAAAUAUUAGAAUUUUAAAAAAUCGAAGAACAACCACUCUUCGCGAGGCUUCGAAGAAAAGAACGAAACUUACAGAGCUUCUCUCAGACGAAGAAAAUUUGCAUCUAGUUAAAUCGCAAUUUGAAGAGCUUAACUCCUUAUUUAAUGACUUUCAAGCAGCUCAUGAAGCCCUGGUUGAGCAUUUGACCUCCGACGAGGACAAAGAUAAGGAAGAUGAUUAUUUUAUCGCCAAACAAAGCGCAGCGCUGGAGUUUCGAAAUCAAAUAAUUCAGUGGAUUGAGCUAGGAGAAGCACGAUUAGCCGAACGAGCCGACCUCUUAGAAUGUAAUUCAAUGUCAUCUAAAGGCUCCAAGCGCUUGCGCCACUCAAGAAGAUCGACGGGUUCAGCUGCUUCAUCCAGAGAGAAGGAGCGCCUCAACCUGGCCGAGAUGAUGGCCGAGAGGUCACUUUUGAAGGAGAGACAACGUAUUGAAGAGCUUAAACUAGAAAUAGACAUAGCGAAGUCACGCGAGAGAAAGAGUCUAUGCCAUAAUGGAAGCUGAAGAAUAUGGUGGAUUGCCUGCAUACUCCAACUCAGCCCCGCCCUUGAUGCGGUCUACACCACGGCAGAGAAGUAAUUUCAGCGUUAUACCAGAGCAGUAUGAAGGAAACGGAUUCAAGUGCCCCGACGCCACAACGGAGCGUAACGAGCAUCGCAGCACAGAGGAAAGGAUCACCACGGAAAUUCAUACCGCUAGCAAGGAACCCGACGAGCAGCAUGGAGGAAACGGAUCCAAGUGCCCCGACGCUACAACUGAUUGUUCUAAGAGCAACCAAGACGGGACCGGGUUAAAGCAACAAGAAAAGCUGACGAAGUGCGAGAAAUCUCACGACCUUGAAGAGUGUAAAGACUUCGUAAAGAAAACCCUGGAAGAAAGGAAGAAGUUUAUAGCAGAAAAACACCUGUGCUUUGCCUGCUACGGAACCAAACACCGGUCUAAAGGCUGUACCAACAAGAAAGUCUACAGAACAUGCAACAAACCACAUCCAACGUCACUCCACGUAGAUAACUUCAAUCCCAAAGAACAACAGAAAUCCAAGGACGAAAGUAAGUCAGAUUCUACGACCAUCGGUAGUACGUGUACUGACACGAAAGAAACUGAAAUUAGUCUAUCAACCACCACGCAGAAUGUCAUCCUGCAUGCCAUUCUACCCGUUAUCGUCCGGGCCGAGAACGGAAAUAUUGCUAAGACAUACGCACUUUACGACAACGGAAGUUCGGGAAUCUUCAUUACCGAAGAACUAAGGAACAGUUAGCAAUAAAGGGAAUCGACACAAGGCUACAAUUUGGAACUAUACACGGUUACAGUUCGGUCAAGUGCUCUAUCGUCGAAGGACUGACUGUAAGUGAUCUGACAGGUAACAAACCUGUCAAACUGGCUCGUUGUUACACGCGACAAGAAAUUCCAGCUAGUCAGCAGCAAAUCCCUACUCCCGAUUCCAGAACCUUCGUCAGAUAGCAAGUAACAUGCCUGAACUAGUGACAGACCUCGAGGUUGGUCUACUACUCGGAAGCGACUGCCCUCUGGCGCUCGAACCCCUAGAAGUAGUUCCAGGCGGAGGAAGCGGGCCUUUCGCCAUGCGCCUUCAACACGGAUGGACGGUGAACGCGGCAAACCAGAGGAGCAGAAGAUGGCUGAGCUGCCCAAGGACAGAGUAACACUUGCUUUUCCAUUCACGUGUGCAGGCGUAGAUUAUUUUGGCCCUUACGUUAUCAAGUUUGGCCGAAAGGAAGUAAAGCGAUACGGUGCCCUUUUCACUUGUCUAGUCAGUAGAGCUGUGCAUAUAGAGAUAGCGAACUCUCUCGAUACAGAUUCGUUUAUACAAGCUCUCAGAAGAUUUAUAGCCCGUAGGGGACCGGUAAAGAUGAUUAGAAGUGAUAACGGGACCAACUUUGUCGGCGCUCAAGCAGAACUCCGCCGAGCUCUAGAGGAAAUGGAUUAGGAUCAGAUCAGAGACCGACUUCACAAGGAAGAAAUCGACUGGAUCUUCAACCCCCAGCCGCCAGCCAUAUGGGGGGCGUCUGGGAAAGGCAGAUUGGUACCAUACGCAAAGUGCUAGCUGGUCUUCUCAACGAGUAUGGCAAUCGUAUUGACGACGAAGAUCUACGCACAUUAAUGUGCGGAAUCGAAGCAGUAAUCAAUUCGCGACCGCUAACCUUCGUAUCCAGUGAUGCUAACGAUCUCGAGCCUCUCACACCGAGUCAUUUACUGACAACAAAAUCCACCGUAAUUCUACCGCCUCCGGGGAACUUUCAGAAGGGAGAUGUCUACAUGAAGCGACGGUGGAGAAGGGUUCAGUAUCUAACGAAUCUCUUUUGGACACGGUGGCGUAGAGAAUACCUACUGACGUGUCAACAGCGAAGUAAAUGACAGAAUCCAAAACGCAACCUAAGGAUCGGAGACGUAGUAAUCGUGAAGGAUGACAGUGCUCCUCGGAACUCAUGGACGAUGGGACUCGUCAAGGAAGUUGAGCAAGAUGAACAAGGCCUGGUGAGAGCCGCUGUCUYGAAGACCGACAAGAGUGAGCUGAGACGACCAACCAGCAAGCUUUGUGGUCAUCUUGGCCAAGGAAGAACAAUAGACAUUGAACUCAUAUAUUAUAAAGCUGUUUGCGUUCAAGAACAUUUAUAAUUAGUUGUUGUUUAAGUCAGUAAACCUAGGUUAGGUUUAGGGGCCGGGAAUGUCGCGGCCAAAACCGCUAGAGGAGGACUGGGGCGAAGUUUUUCACACGUUUGAUUAUAGUCUAUAAUGUCAUCGAGCUGUGUAACUGCAGAAGGACAAAAUUUUGGAGACUAUCCUAUAGGUGGAAUGCCACCUGUCUAGUUCUCCGCAACAGUUUAAUUGUUGGAAGCUUAAUAAAUAAAAAUGUAGAUAAAAUGAUUUGCAAGAUGGCAAAAGAAUACGAAAUAGCGAAGAAGGAGGAACUGAAGCAGACGCUCCAGGAACUAACAACAGUAAAUAAUGAAGAGCAAACCGCUAUUAAAACGAGAUUAAAAGAUCAGAAAAAAUUGUGCAACAUUGCCGAGCACUGUUGGAGAGAGAUGUAGCAUAUGAGGAAAUCGAAAGUAAGGAAAUGAUUCUAGAAAGAGCUAAGAUGUUAAAGAAUCUCCUUUGAUCUUAUGCCAUCGGCCAAUCCAGCGUGACGUGACAUUAUACAGUCAAUUCAAAAAACGUUGUCGUCGACAGGCUCAAGCCUACGCCA